rnacentral:misc_RNA from 1 species
GUAGGUGAACCUGCGGAAGGAUCAUUAGUGAAUUUUAGGGCGUCUUACUUCGGUAAGGGCCUGACCUCCACUCUCUAACACUGUGCACUCAUUGGCGGGAAAGAAAUAAGAAGAGUAUUUAUACUUGGAAUACGAUUUCCUGCGGCUCACUUUUAAACACUAGUUAAAGUAUGUAUAAAAAAAUAAAAUAAAAAAACUUUCAACAACGGAUCUCUUGGCUCUC